UAAAGUUGGAGUCCAAGAGGAGUCCGCCUCAGAAUUGACGCCCAAAUCACAUAAGGAGUCCAUUUUCUACAUUCUACAUAUGCAUGGAAAGAUGAGAAGAUACACUUUCCAUUGGCACCUGUCUAAUAUCAAAAUUCCUUUUGAAUCAACAGGAAUCAUUGAAAGAAGGUGAACAUAUAGAAUCUGCUAAGGUAUUGCGUCACCUUUUAUUUGGCCGCGGCCCGUGUAAUUCAUGAGAACAGCCUAGGCCCAUGUUGUGGCGCCCCCCCCUCCUCCUGUAGGACCAUGUCCCAAGGGUUCCCUAAGUUGUCCACCACCUUGGCCUCCA
rnacentral:lncRNA from 1 species